GGUCCUGUAAAUCAAUGGUGAGAUUAUCUGACUCAUAAUCAGGAGGUUGUCGGUUCAAGUCCGGCCAGGACCA
rnacentral:tRNA from 1 species